UACAGAGGUCUCAAGCGUUGUUCGGAUUCAUUGGGCGUAAAGGGUGCGUAGGUGGCGGGGUAAGUCAGGUGUGAAAUUUCGGAGCUUAACUCCGAAACUGCAUUUGAUACUGCCUUGCUUGAGGACUGGAGAGGAGACUGGAAUUUACGGUGUAGCAGUGAAAUGCGUAGAUAUCGGGAGGAACACCGGUGGCGAAGGCGGCCAUCUGGACGGAUACUGACGCUGAGACGCGAAAGCGUGGGGAGCAAACAGG
rnacentral:rRNA from 1 species